rnacentral:rRNA from 1 species
GAUGAACGCUGGCGGCGUGCCUAAUACAUGCAAGUCGAGCGAACAGAUGAGGAGCUUGCUCCUCUGACGUUAGCGGCGGACGGGUGAGUAACACGUGGAUAACCUACCUAUAAGACUGGGAUAACUUCGGGAAACCGGAGCUAAUACCGGAUAAUAUAUUGAACCGCAUGGUUCAAUAGUGAAAGACGGUUUUGCUGUCACUUAUAGAUGGAUCCGCGCCGCAUUAGCUAGUUGGUAAGGUAACGGCUUACCAAGGCAACGAUGCGUAGCCGACCUGAGAGGGUGAUCGGCCACACUGGAACUGAGACACGGUCCAGACUCCUACGGGAAGCAGCAGUAGGGAAUCUUCCGCAAUGGGCGAAAGCCUGACGGAGCAACGCCGCGUGAGUGAUGAAGGUCUUCGGAUCGUAAAACUCUGUUAGUAGGGAAGAACAAAUGUGUAAGUAACUAUGCACGUCUUGACGGUACCUAAUCAGAAAGCCACGGCUAACUACGUG